UCUCCCUGCAGCCGAGCAGGGACCAGAGCCGGGCUGGCUCCUGGGGCUCGCCACCAGGGAAUGCCACUGAAUGCCUCUGCAGAGCCCCCUUUGUGUUGCCUUUCAGCCUGUGUGCUCCAGGAGAGCUAUUCUAGGAUUUAUUUUAAGUUUUAUCUAGCUCUGUGAGACUGUUUCUGAUUACUCUGAAAGACAAGCAAGGUGAUGCCAGGUUUGUGCAGCUGAAGGAUGGCACAGAGGACAUGAAAGUCAAGAUUUAAGGAAGAGACAAUGUCGUCCUCUCAAAGAAUCCUGUUCUCUUUUUAAAAAACCCAUUUCCAUACCUGUAAAAGAAAUAUCUCCCAGGCACUUUUCCCCUACAGCAUGCCUGAAGUUUCCCAACUUUGUGUGUGAAUGUGGAGACUGCAGCUGUAUGGACACAGAGCAGGUCGAAGAUGUGAUUAAGUCUGGACAUUUCUGUGUACUUUCUGUGUGUGAUGAGAGCAGCAGCUCUGCACAGAUGUGACAUUGUGCAGCACCACUGCAGGAUGCAGGAGGUUAAGAGGUGGCAAAAGGCAAUGGGUAAUAUGAGUAGUAAUAUGAGCAGAAUGAUCACUGGAAGAAAAAAGAAAAAGGGCUGAAAGUCAUCACAUAGCUCAUAUGGCUUGUGACUUAUUGAACUGCAAUACCACUUCUACUUUUCUUAUAUAUUUUAGUUUCACUUCUCUGGGCCAAUUUCCAACCUGUUUGAGGCCUCUGAAGUCCCUGGUUUUAGUGUGUCCCCAAAGAAGCCUGUAGCUAAUAUUUAUAAGAAAUAGAAGAAUGUUUCUGUGUGUUUAUUUUAGGUGCACAAACCAAUUCUUUCAAACUCAAAUUAGUUGAUAUAGCAAAUGCCACCACUAAACUGGUGUCCUACACUGGUAAAUUCUCAAAUUUGUUUACUUUUUGCACCCCCAUAAUUUAUUCUGUGACUCCAUCAUAGUUUGGGGCCUGAUUGUCUGGGAAAAGACUGGAGGAUGCAGGUGGGAAUAUUUACAUUGGGACUUCAUAAUCCCCAGGGGCUCAGAGCAGCCUUGGUGCUGGUUACCCCAUGUCAGCUGAGCACAGCUCCUGUGCCCUCCUCCCCAAACCCGCUGGAAGCAUUUCCCUUGGCCUCUGAAUAAAGCAAUAAUGAAGGGAAAGGUAAAAUAUAGUAACAAACAAGGCUGUGGCUGGUGGUGAAGCCUAAAAGGAGAGAGAGGUUGUGUUGGAGCACGACAGGGGAUUUUGCUGGACUUCACCCAGAUAAGAUGGGACAGCUAGCAGAGAUAUAAAAUAAAUGGCAAUAUGAUGUGUGCAUAUAAUAUUACCUCAGGCCUCCCUCUUUGGUUGUAUCUGUCUGGAGUGGGACAGUGAGAGCUGCAAUAAUUUCUGGAUAAGCUCCCUGCAUAAGAUCUAUGCUGUGACAUGAACACACUACUGCCUGAUCUCAUAGUGGGACUGCAAUAAGCACCAUGUCCUGUUGUAUUCCUUGGGGCCAGGAGAGAUUGGCAAAACUUCAAUGCUUCAAAAAAAAAAAAAAAAAAGAAAAAAGAAAAAUCCUUCAGAGCUUUCCCAGGAAACACAGAGUGCUCACCCAGCCCUCUACAGACACAGAAAUCUCAUUUGCCAUCCUCAAAAUGAGAUGGGAGCUGGGAUUGAGACCCCCUAAUGCAUAAGAGGGACCAAAAUCAGCUGCCUUGAUUCGAGAAAAGUCUCUUAUCCCUGUUUAGAACUUCUGGCAUGUGGUUUUGCUCCUCAUAGGUGACUGGACAAUGGCUUCUGAAGCAACCGGUGCUCUGGGCCCCUGCAGCAGCAAAAGCAAAGCUGUAGCCUGGCAAGAAGAGAUACAAAAAGGAGAAAAAAAAAUUAAUUUCUCAAGGCCACAUCUCCUCUGUUGCUUUUCUGCUUUAAUUUGGCUCCAACAAGGCUAAAUUCAGCACUAUAAAUCAUAUAAGUUACCUAUGCAGGGAAGACCUUGUACCCCUCUGCAUUCCUGUCUGAAGAAAUAUGUGACCUUUUCAUGGCACAUUGCUAGGAAAAAAAAGAUUAAAAGUCGGUUUUAACUUGGCUUUGCAACCUCAAGGUGAAAUCCAAGGAAAGAGUAGGAGUUUUUACUCAGAGGAGUGGUCAGCCCCCAGCCUGGGAAGCAGGGAAUCUUGGUGUCUGCUCUGCAUGCAGAUGAUUGGAACUUCACAAGUCCCAUUGAACCGGCCGGUCCAACUUGGCAGGUGGAGCUGGGAACAUCUUGUUUCACACAUCAUGUGUCAGGCGGAUGUACCAAUUCAAAUGUUCUCUCCAAAAUGUCUUUUUCCACCACACACACCAUCCAAACAGCCUGUUAAUGGUUUGGCUUUUCAGGAAAAAAAAAAAAAAAGUGUUUUUCAUGCUUGGCAAAUCAGCCCAGGAGGAGUAAUUUCAGCUCUGUUGGUGUGUGCAUUAUGACCUGUUUUGGGCAAAUAGUCCUAUUCCUACAUCCACCCCUGUGACUGCCUGGGAGUUGAGGUGGGUUAAAUAGCUUCAAAAUGUUCUAACUGGGGAGGAGGGGAAGAAAGCAGACAAAACAGCUAAAAUCUGGCAGAACAAUAAAUUGAGCAAAGCUUAAGAUAAGGCAUUCUGUAUUGUAUUCAGUACCUGAACAGACCAGUUAAUGCAUGGACACUCCCAACACACAAAUGCUUGGAAAAAAGACUAAAAAAAAGAAAAUAUUUCACUUGUGUUUUACUCUGAGGACCUGGACAAUGUUCUCUUCAUCCAGUACUCAAAAAACAAAAGAAAACAAGCCCUGAAAGUUUGGCCCAGGGACAUAAUGCUGGACAACAUCUCCACCAUGAAAUACAGAAAAUGGAAUUUCAGAUGUCAGUGGAGAAUACAAAUUCCCUCUUAAUUGCCACAAUAUGCUUGGUUUAAAAAAAAAAAAAUAA